rnacentral:lncRNA from 1 species
AUAGAACCAAAAUCUUCUCUUCAAAAAAUGGCUACUUUGUGUUCAACAUUCAAGAUGGCCUUUGUCUUCGUUGCUCUUCUUUUCACUGGUUAAUUUCUAUAUUUUCCUUCUUUUUGUUUUUUUAUAUAGUACCUACAAUCUAUUAUCUUUUCUACUUGUAGGCUAAAAAUUUAUGCCUAGGACUUUAUGAACCAUAUUAUUGGAGAAAAUCAACAUACACCUUGAUAACUUAAUCAAAUCAACUUAAAUUUCGGUUAUAUCUAAAGCAUCCGUUUAUUCUUUUUAGAACUAGAGUUUGGCUUUGAUCAUAUACACAUUUUAUUUUCGUUUCAUGAUCACCUUAAAUGCUUAAAUCGCAACUUCCACCAACCAUAUCUUUACUACUUUAUUGUAUUUAAUUCUUGCAUUUAUAUUAUAUAUUUAAAAAAAAAAAAAACACAAAAUCAACUUAAAAUUCGUUCAACCUUAUUCACAAAAUCAACAUACAACUUGAUAACUUAAUCAAAUUAACUUAAAAUCGGGUUAUAUUUGCAGUGUCCGCUUCUUCUUUUUAGAACUAAAGUGGGCUUGAUCACACCCAUUUUAUUGUUCGUUUCAUUAUCACCUUAAGUGCUUAAAUCACAACUUUCACCAACCAUAUCUUUACCACUUCGUUGUAUUCAAUUCUUGCAUUUAUAUUAUAAAUAAAAUACACAAAAUCAACUUAAAAUUAGCACAACUUGUUCACAAAGUAAACAUACAACUUGAUUACUUAAUCAAAUCAACUUAAAAUCAGGUUAUAUUUGCAACGUCCAUUUAUCCUCUUUAGAACUAGAGUUGGGCUUGACCACCUAAGUUGCUUGAAUUUUUCAAAAAUGUUGUCCCACCCGUACUGAAUCCUCCAAAAUGCACUACUUGAAUCUGACACGCACUCGAUGAUAUUUUUGAAGAGUCCGAACAACAUAAUUGACCACAACAUACAUUUUAGUAUAUAUAUUCAUUAUAAUAAUGAUAGUUUGAUUUGAUUUUUUUCAGCUCAUUUGUCUCCAAAAUCUCAAAUAAUGGCCAUUCGAGACAUUAUUUCUCCAGAAUUACAAGCUAUGGAACAAAGCCUAUUCCUUUUUCCUAUUAAUCGACUUUCAACUUGUCUCCUACCAUGUGUCUCUGCUUCAGAUUGUAGUGGCACUUGUAGUCACUGCACAUUGAAUGCUUUAUUAAUAAAGCUAUGCACUUGAAUUAAUCGGAGUUCCACAACAGUAUGUUUCUCAAAUGCUUUUGAUGUUUUAAAGUCCAGCUCUCGCUCUUGGAGCCACCUGGUUUUCCUUUUAUGGAUUUGGAAUAAUGAAAUUCUAGCUCUAUAAGCUUGAAUAUUGUACUAUUGUAAUAUCCUUUUUCUCAGAAAAGGGGUUUAUUCUAAGAAAAUGUUGUGUGUAUGAAUUAAAUUUUCUUCUUGUUGUUUCUUUGGAUUUGUUUUGUUGUGUCUUUUUCACUGUUUGUUCAACUGAGGAUCUUUCAAAAACAGUCAUGUUUUUACCUUUUUAAAGAUAGGAGU